rnacentral:rRNA from 1 species
GUAGUCUGCAACUCGACUACAUGAAGCUGGAAUCGCUAGUAAUCGCGAAUCAGAAUGUCGCGGUGAAUACGUUCCCGGGUCUUGUACACACCGCCCGUCACACCAUGGGAGUCGGAUAUGCCCGAAGCCGGUGACCUAACCGCAAGGAAGGAGCCGUCGAAGGUGGAGCCGAUGACUGGGGUGAAGUCGUAACAAGGUAGC